rnacentral:lncRNA from 1 species
UAGUAACAACAUAUUUUAAUGAGUCAUAUACUAUUGAAACAGAGAAAACAGUCCAGCACGCACUGAACUCAAUUUUGAUGUAUACAGAGUUGACGAUCAUUUUAAACUUGACGAAACUCUAGCCAGGGUCUUCUGAGCCUUCUCAAUUCAGCCUUAACUUUGGUCUAUAAAAACUUGAAAAAGACAGGAACAUAGUUGGUAACAGUUCAAGUCUACAUCUCUAGAACGAACGACCCAGUCUCCCUUAAAGUGAACUGUCUGAGAAAACUGAAACCUGCCUGUCUUCAUGGUUCCUAUAACAAAAAUACCAUGGCCUUACACAACACUUAUUUCUCACAUUUCCACAGAUUGGAAAGUCCACAAUAAAGGUGCCAGCCAGUUUGGUCUGUAAGGACCCAUUUUCUGAUUUAUAGAGCAUGGUCUUCUUGCUGUGCCCUCACAUGGCAGAAGAGGCAAGAAAGCUCUCUGGAGUCUCUUUUAUGAGGUCACUAAGGCCAUUCAUGAGUUCAUCACUCAUGAUCUAAUCAACCCCCAAAGACUUCCUCUCCCAAUAUCAUCACAUUGGGGUUUAAGAUUUCAACAUAUAACUUAUUUAUCUGGCACUGGAACUCAAAUCCAGAUUGGAACCCUUAUCUGGCCCUUGGACAAAACAGUCAAUCCUUUCUGCAUGCGUAGAAACCUUUGUCUGAUCUUCAGUUGACUUACUUUUUUGGGUAUUUGGUGGCGAGUUCAACUUCUGGCCUAACACUGUGUAGAAAUUUGCACUGAGGCAUGGCGAGGACAUAUUUUCUUCCUAUGUUUCUGGCUGUAGUCUCUAAGGCUGGGUUAUAAUUCCAGGCUGCUUUUGAAAGACAUCUCCUGGGCUGGCUGUUUAUCUUCCUGGCUCCCUGUUUUCAGUGGGAAUUCACUUCCUAACUCCUGUGCUGGAAUGUUCACUCUGGCUUCUUGUGAGACCUCUUCAUUCUAUUUGAACUUACUCUUCCCACAGGAACUCCACAGUUAAACCCCUUUUGGGUUCCUACUCUCUAUAUAUACUAUGACACUAACCAUGUCUGCUUCUAUUUUAGGCAAAAUGACUUUACUGUGGAUAAUUCGGAACUGCAAUGGUUUAUUUGAAAAUCUUAAGAUCUGCCUAAAGUGGCUCUUAUAGGACUGCUCCCUUCCCAUUUCCUUCUUUUUUCCUUCUUUCUUUUACCAUCUUAACUUUUUCCAUUGAACUCCCCUGACACUUUGAUAUGCACCUCUUUUCCAUUAAACACCCCUGACUUUUGAUAUAUACCCAUCCUUUUACCCCUACCAGAUGUUUCACUUAC